rnacentral:ncRNA from 2 species
AAAUACUUCGAGCCAGUAAUUUUUCUGUGUAAGAAAAAUUCGACAGGGAAGCCGGUGUGAAUCCGGCGCGGUCCCGCCACUGUAAAUGGGGAGCUUAUUGCCAUAUCCACUGAGGAAACUUGGGAAGGAGGCAAUGGGCGAAGAACCUAAGCCAGGAGACCUGACUGCUCGUCUGCUUUAAC